rnacentral:rRNA from 1 species
GACAGAGGAUGCAAGCGUUAUCCGGAAUGAUUGGGCGUAAAGCGUCUGUAGGUGGCUUUUUAAGUCCGCCGUCAAAUCCCAGGGCUCAACCCUGGACAGGCGGUGGAAACUACCAAGCUGGAGUACGGUAGGGGCAGAGGGAAUUUCCGGUGGAGCGGUGAAAUGCGUAGAGAUCAGCAGGAACACCCGUGGCGAAGGCGGCCCCCUGGGCCGUACCUGACGCUGAGGCGCGAAGGCUAGGGGAGCGAACGGG